AUUGAACGCUGGCGGCAGGCCUAACACAUGCAAGUCGAGCGGAUGAAGGGAGCUUGCUCCUGGAUUCAGCGGCGGACGGGUGAGUAAUGCCUAGGAAUCUGCCUGGUAGUGGGGGAUAACGUCCGGAAACGGGCGCUAAUACCGCAUACGUCCUGAGGGAGAAAGUGGGGGAUCUUCGGACCUCACGCUAUCAGAUGAGCCUAGGUCGGAGUAGCUAGUUGGUGGGGUAAAGGCCUACCAAGGCGACGAUCCGUAACUGGUCUGAGAGGAUGAUCAGUCACAUUGGAACUGAGACACGGUCCAGACUCCUACGGGAGGCAGCAGUGGGGAAUAUUGGACAAUGGGCGAAAGCCUGAUCCAGCCAUGCCGCGUGUGUGAAGAAGGUCUUCGGAUUGUAAAGCACUUUAAGUUGGGAGGAAGGGCAGUAAGUUAAUACCUUGCUGUUUUGACGUUACCAACAGAAUAAGCACCGGCUAACUUCGUG
rnacentral:rRNA from 1 species